rnacentral:rRNA from 1 species
GUUAUAUGGUCAAGUGAAGAAGCGCAUACGGUGGAUGCCUUGGCAGUCAGAGGCGAUGAAAGACGUGGUAGCCUGCGAAAAGCUUCGGGGAGUCGGCAAACAGACUUUGAUCCGGAGAUGUCUGAAUGGGGGAACCCAGCCAUCAUAAGAUGGUUACCUUACACUGAAUACAUAGGUGUAUGGAGCGAACCAGGGGAACUGAAACAUCUAAGUACCCUGAGGAAAAGAAAUCAACCGAGAUUCCCUUAGUAGUGGCGAGCGAACGGGGACUAGCCCUUAAGUGGCUUUGAGAUUAGCGGAACGCUCUGGAAAGUGCGGCCAUAGUGGGUGAUAGCCCUGUACGCGAAAAUCUCUUAGUCAUGAAAUCGAGUAGGACGGAGCACGAGAAACUUUGUCUGAAUAUGGGGGGACCAUCCUCCAAGGCUAAAUACUACUGACUGACCGAUAGUGAACUAGUACCGUGAGGGAAAGGCGAAAAGAACCCCGGAGAGGGGAGUGAAAUAGAUCCUGAAACCGUAUGCGUACAAGCAGUGGGAGCCCACUUUGUUGGGUGACUGCGUACCUUUUGUAUAAUGGGUCAGCGACUUAUUUUCAGUGGCGAGCUUAACCGAAUAGGGGAGGCGUAGCGAAAGCGAGUCUUAAUAGGGCGUCUAGUCGCUGGGAAUAGACCCGAAACCGGGCGAUCUAUCCAUGGGCAGGUUGAAGGUUGGGUAACACUAACUGGAGGACCGAACCGACUACCGUUGAAAAGUUAGCGGAUGACCUGUGGAUCGGAGUGAAAGGCUAAUCAAGCUCGGAGAUAGCUGGUUCUCCUCGAAAGCUAUUUAGGUAGCGCCUCAUGUAUCACUGUAGGGGGUAGAGCACUGUUUCGGCUAGGGGGUCAUCCCGACUUACCAAACCGAUGCAAACUCCGAAUACCUACAAGUGCCGAGCAUGGGAGACACACGGCGGGUGCUAACGUCCGUCGUGAAAAGGGAAACAACCCAGACCGUCAGCUAAGGUCCCAAAGUUAUGGUUAAGUGGGAAACGAUGUGGGAAGGCUUAGACAGCUAGGAGGUUGGCUUAGAAGCAGCCACCCUUUAAAGAAAGCGUAAUAGCUCACUAGUCGAGUCGGCCUGCGCGGAAGAUGUAACGGGGCUCAAACCAUACACCGAAGCUACGGGUAUCACUUAGGUGAUGCGGUAGAGGAGCGUUCUGUAAGCCUGUGAAGGUGAGUUGAGAAGCUUGCUGGAGGUAUCAGAAGUGCGAAUGCUGACAUGAGUAACGACAAUGGGUGUGAAAAACACCCACGCCGAAAGACCAAGGUUUCCUGCGCAACGUUAAUCGACGCAGGGUUAGUCGGUCCCUAAGGCGAGGCUGAAAAGCGUAGUCGAUGGAAAACAGGUUAAUAUUCCUGUACUUCUGGUUAUUGCGAUGGAGGGACGGAGAAGGCUAGGCCAGCUUGGCGUUGGUUGUCCAAGUUUAAGGUGGUAGGCUGGAAUCUUAGGUAAAUCCGGGAUUCUAAGGCCGAGAGCUGAUGACGAGUCGUCUUUUAGACGACGAAGUGGUUGAUGCCAUGCUUCCAAGAAAAGCUUCUAAGCUUCAGGUAACCAGGAACCGUACCCCAAACCGACACAGGUGGUUGGGUAGAGAAUACCAAGGCGCUUGAGAGAACUCGGGUGAAGGAACUAGGCAAAAUGGCACCGUAACUUCGGGAGAAGGUGCGCCGGUGAGGGUGAAGGACUUGCUCCGUAAGCUCAUGCCGGUCGAAGAUACCAGGCCGCUGCGACUGUUUAUUAAAAACACAGCACUCUGCAAACACGAAAGUGGACGUAUAGGGUGUGACGCCUGCCCGGUGCCGGAAGGUUAAUUGAUGGGGUUAGCUAACGCGAAGCUCUUGAUCGAAGCCCCGGUAAACGGCGGCCGUAACUAUAACGGUCCUAAGGUAGCGAAAUUCCUUGUCGGGUAAGUUCCGACCUGCACGAAUGGCGUAACGAUGGCGGCGCUGUCUCCACCCGAGACUCAGUGAAAUUGAAAUCGCUGUGAAGAUGCAGUGUAUCCGCGGCUAGACGGAAAGACCCCGUGAACCUUUACUAUAGCUUUGCACUGGACUUUGAAUUUGCUUGUGUAGGAUAGGUGGGAGGCUUUGAAGCGUGGACGCUAGUUCGCGUGGAGCCAACCUUGAAAUACCACCCUGGCAACUUUGAGGUUCUAACUCAGGUCCGUUAUCCGGAUCGAGGACAGUGUAUGGUGGGUAGUUUGACUGGGGCGGUCUCCUCCUAAAGAGUAACGGAGGAGUACGAAGGUGCGCUCAGACCGGUCGGAAAUCGGUCGUAGAGUAUAAAGGCAAAAGCGCGCUUGACUGCGAGACAGACACGUCGAGCAGGUACGAAAGUAGGUCUUAGUGAUCCGGUGGUUCUGUAUGGAAGGGCCAUCGCUCAACGGAUAAAAGGUACUCCGGGGAUAACAGGCUGAUACCGCCCAAGAGUUCAUAUCGACGGCGGUGUUUGGCACCUCGAUGUCGGCUCAUCACAUCCUGGGGCUGAAGCCGGUCCCAAGGGUAUGGCUGUUCGCCAUUUAAAGUGGUACGCGAGCUGGGUUUAGAACGUCGUGAGACAGUUCGGUCCCUAUCUGCCGUGGACGUUUGAGAUUUGAGAGGGGCUGCUCCUAGUACGAGAGGACCGGAGUGGACGAACCUCUGGUGUUCCGGUUGUCACGCCAGUGGCAUUGCCGGGUAGCUAUGUUCGGAAUAGAUAACCGCUGAAAGCAUCUAAGCGGGAAACUAGCCUCGAGAUGAGAUCUCACUGGAACCUUGAGUUCCCUGAAGGGCCGUCGAAGACUACGACGUUGAUAGGUUGGGUGUGUAAGCGCUGUGAGGCGUUGAGCUAACCAAUACUAAUUGCCCGUGAGGCUUGACCAUAUAACACCCAAGCAAUU